AACGAACGCUGGCGGCGUGGAUAAGACAUGCAAGUCGAACGGGCCCCAAAGUUCCCGCAAGGGAGUUUCGGGGUUAGUGGCGAACGGGUGCGUAACACGUGGGGAAUCUGCCGAGAAGUGGGGGAGUAGCUCGCCGAAAGGCGAAUUAAUACCGCAUAUGAUCAGGGAAGACAUCUUUCCAACAUCAAAGCCGGGGCAACCUGGCGCUUCUUGAUGACCCCGCGGCCUAUCGGCUAGUUGGUGAGGAACGGCCCACCAAGGCUAUGACGGGUAGCUGGUCUGAGAGGACGACCAGUCACACUGGAACUGAGACACGGUCCAGACACCUACGGGUGGCAGCAGUCGAGAAUUUUUCUCAAUGGGGGCGAACCCUGAAGGAGCGACGCCGCGUGGAGGAUGAAGGCUUUC
rnacentral:rRNA from 1 species